rnacentral:lncRNA from 10 species
AAAGCAUUAAAAACCAUGAUAUACUUUUCGCUGUGAAAUUUAAAAGCAAAGAGAUCACAUCGGCUUCUCCAGUCUGAACUAGGUGCCUCGUCUGUUUUUUCUUUUCUCUUUUUUUAAAAAAAUGGGACAGGGAGGGGCUAGGGGAGUGGGAGGGUGAGUGAUGGGGGUGUCACGUGCAAAGAAGCCCUCACUUCAAAGGGACGUCUGGCAGGGAGCAGGUGGGCUGCUCUCCAGGGAAGGUGCAAGGACAGUUGCUGUGCUGAAAUGCACAUGUGGCAGCACAGCAAAUGAGGAGCACUGGAAGAUCAAAAGGAAACCUGAAAAUCACAGGUCACCCUCACUCUGUACCUCUCAACUAGGAUUACCAGGUCAGCCAUUUGAAAGGGAGCACCCGAUCUUUACAAGGUCAAGAGCCACUGACUUUGCAAACCUUCAGAGGACAAAGGGCAAACCCUCAGCCCGUACAGUUUUGGUGCUGUCAGCAGGAUAACCAAAACUGCUCUGCUCUUCCAGAAGCUGCAGUCAAGGGAACCCAGGACCUGACAAGCUGGCAGAAUAAAAGGUCUCUUGUUGAAGAUCUGUUUUUCUACACCAUAUAUAGAUGCCUAGCUUUGAGGCCCAUCUGCAAUGCCAUCUCUUGAAAUGAGACACAACUGUUGAACUGAACUGACCUGUGCUCUCAGGACUCAGGACUGAGUCAAGAAGAUAUGGGUGACUUGUUCCAAUCUAUGGGUUUUUUUCUUCCCCUUUACCAAUCUCUUAUCUCACAACCUCAACCCCAAAUCUCUCCAUAGCUACCAAUCCUACUUUAAUAUGUGAAACUUUCUGAAAAUAAAAUUUCAAAUGAGGAACUAAAGGAAACCAAAAAUAUUUCACCCCAAAAUAUACUUCUUUGACAUAUUUUGAGAUGGCUAUUCAGAGGGCCUACAGACAGAAAUAGUCUUGCAAAGCUGCCUUUUGUGGAGGAGAUUUGCAUCUGUAGAGAAAAAUCUACAUUAGUGAAAUAAAUAGCCAGGCUUUCUCUGACAACGCCUCCCCUCCAGUCUGGAUCUAGGAAAGACAUUUAUUCUUUCUGGGAGCUGCUACUAGUGAGAUUGCAUGUACAUAACAAGAUCGCCCUUGCUAGCCAUGCCUUUCCCCUUCUCUCCCCCCCAUAAUCUCUUUUACCACACUCCAAGCCCCUAUUCUUUCUACAACCUCAAGAAGGGAUAAAAGUGUCAACCAUCUGAGCCCUUUGUUCAUAUUUUCUAUGAAUCCCAUGCAUAUGUGUAUGUUAAUAAAUUUGGGAUGCCUUUCUUUUCUCCUAUUAAUCUGCCUUUUGACAGUUGAUUUUCAGCAAAACUUCAGAGGACAAAAGGGAAAAAUUGGGGGAGUUUUAAACAUUGCAUUUGUUGAAAAGAAAUCUUCUGGCCUGGCACGGUGGCUCACGCCUGUAAUCCCAGAGUUUUGGGAGGCUGAGGCAGGAGGAUUGCUUGCAGCCAGGAGUUCAAGACCAGCCUGGGCAACAAAAUAAGACCCUGUCUCAACAACAACAAAAUUUUAAAUUAGCCAGGUGUGGUGGUGCAUACCUAUAGUCCUAGCUACU